GCCCUCCCUCAGGAAGUAUGACAUACUGCCGGAACUGUGGCUAAUGGUGCGGACCACCCUGCUCACUGGCAGCAAAGUGGGUAGCUACGCUCUCUUCUGGAAGCCCCUCUGCAGCACUACUCUUGGGAGUGGAAAAGGAAGUGGUCAGAAGGUGCUCCAGCUGAGUCGUGGCUGCCUCCUGCUGGUGACGUGACUGAGGGGAAGAAUGUGGUGAGAGAUGGAGCAGAGGCUGGAUUCCCCUGGGGCCGCUACCACCAGCUCAGCCCCAGCCUCCUCAGCUUUCUGCAGCUGAGCCUCCAGGAUUAACAACCUAGUCUUAGGCCGGGCAUGGUGGCUCAUGUCUGUAAUCCCGGGACUUCAGGAGGCUGAGGCAGAUGGAUCACCUGAGGUCAGGAGUUCAAGACCAGCCUGGCCAACAUGACCUACAUUUGGGAGCUGAUCUGUCUUGCCCUCAGUUAGGCCCAGCCCUUCCGUGGGGACCAGGAAAAUCUUUGCUCACCUGGAGAAGCUGCUGGUUCAGCCCAACUUUAUCUAACGCCAAAGCCUCAUUUAAGGCACUGAGCUUGACAGCUGCAGCCCGAAGAUCAGCUACUUCUGUCUUCAGGGUGUUUUCAGAACUCGACAGCUCUGCAAUUGACUGCUCUGCCUAAAAAACAAAGAGGGUUAAAGAGUUUCAUAUUUCCAAUUUUCCUGGAACAGUAAACAGUUCACAUUCACAACACUGCUGCUUUUUGGUACAGAGAUCAGUUAAUACUGCAUUCCCUCUCCUGCAUUCUAAGAAAAGUUUUCCCUUCAUUCAUUCAUUAAGGAGUAAGACAGGAGCUCACAGUAUAGAGGUACCAAUGUUAGGAUAGAGAAAUGGCUAUGACUGUAAUGAUGCCACAGAAAAUGUAAGCACAAAGUGCUCUGGGAACUCAAAAAAACUAUUAAUAUAGUUUGGAAGAGUCAAAUAUGCUUGGUAGAGGAGUUGACAAUUAAGUUGUGUACUGAGAGAUGAGGAACAGUUUGCACAUAAAGGAGGAGGAAAGAAUUAGUGCAGAGAAAGGGAAAAGUAUACGCAGAAUAUUAGAGUCAUGAAGAACAUGGAAUAACUGAGAAGGCAAUUACUGCUGUGGCAGGAGCAAAGGAUAUGAGGUGUUAGGAUGGGUUUUGCAGUAGAAGGGGAGGCUAAAACACACUUUGGGGCACAUGACAAAAAGCUUUGAAUGUGGCACCACAGAGCUAGAAAGCCGUUGAAUGGUUUUAAGAGACUGACAUAACCAGGUAUAUACUUUAGAAAAGCCCAUUCUAAUUCCAAUAUAGAGGGUAUGUUGGAAUAGAGAACCCAGAAGCAGACUAAUGAUUGAGGAAAGAUGAGGGAUCCUGGGUUGAAGGUGAAGAAUGAGGCAGGCUGCAUGGGAACACACUUUCGAAGCCGCCCACCCAGCAAGUGAGGAGAGGAGGCCACGCACCCUAGCCAGCGCUGCGGUCACUUCCGUUUGCUCUUGCCUCAGUAACUCCCCUUCCAGGCGACUUGACUCCAGUGCUUCCCGAAGAGUGAUCAGUUCACUGAGUGAUUCUGACUGUUUGGCUUCCAGGCCCAUCAGCGUCUCCUGACUAAGAUGGGAAGGAGAGGGGUCUAGAGGAACUCUUAGGGAUGGGCCAUAACCCCAAAGGUAACAGGAAUAUAAUCACCUUUGCUAUGCAACAGAAUGAGGGUGGUCUAUAAACACUGAUAAGGAAAGAUUUCUAAGACAUGUCAAGUGAAAAAAAAUCAAGGUGCAGAACAGUAUAUACAUAAUACACUACCUUUUAUGCAAGAAAGCGGGGGAAGAAAGAAUAUAUGCCCGUAUUUGCAUGAGGGAGCACUGGCAAGAUAAACAAGAAGUCAGCUAAAAUGGUUGCCUAAAGGGGGAAGGGAAAUAGGAUGGAGAAAGCACAAAUAAGAGUGAGACUUCUUUGUAUAUCUUCUUAGCUCACUGAAGCCUCAAACUCCUGGGGGCUGUGAUCCUCCCAUCUCACCUUGCCGUGGCUACAGGCACAUGCCACCACAUUCAGCUAAUUUUUUGUUGUUCCUGUAGAGACAGAGGUCUCACUAUGUUGCCCAGGCAGGUCUUAAACUCCUAACCUCAAGUGAUCCUCCCACUAAGGCCUCUAAAAGGGUUGGAAUUACAGGGGUGAGCCAAUGUGCCUAGCCUUAAAAUAGUUUUGACUUUUGAAUCAUAUAAAUGUAUUAUCAAGUCAGAUAAAUAAAUUUAAAAACAUAUUAUGAUCUCUGUGGAUUGUCUGCCCUGCUCCUUGGUACAGGGAGAUCAUUCUUAGCAUAAGUCAUGACCCUUAUGGCAGCCCUUCAAGCUUCCACUAUUCAUGCCUACCAGGUACAACGAACUGGAGCACAGGAGAGGAGGGAAAAACAGCAAAGAUGACGAUAGAUCCCUGCUCCCAGUUAUUAAAGACCUACUAUACGCCAGGUUCUAUGCUGGCGUUUUCCAAAAUAUUGCUCUCAUCUUCCCAGCAAUCCUUCAAGUGUCUCAUCCCAUAUGGGUGCUCAACUAAGACUUAACCAACCAUGAACUUUCCAUAUUCAUCUUUCUGCAAAGGAAGAAGCAGCAAGCUAAUCUGAACCCACUGCAUGCCAGACUUCUACAUACUCUACUUUGUAAGAGAGGGGAGUAGGCGGAGAGGGUGUAGAAUUGAAGGAAGACCAGGCCCCACCGAGGAGGAGACUAGUCUCACUUACAGACGCUCCCUCUCCCGGACAGCCAGGUGCAGCUCCUCCUGCUGCUCCUCCUUCUGGCCCUGGGCAGAGUCCCCCUGCAGCUGAAGCUCCACAUUUGCCCUCCGCAGGCGCCAUGCCUCCUGCUCUAGCACCUCCAGCUGCUGCCGCAGCUCUUCCCUGGCCUUCUGCAGCAGCUCUCGCUCCCUGGAAGAAGGGAAUCAGAGAUGAGCAGAGGCCAUGGGACCUAAAAUUCUUUCUGGAAGCAGGCAUCACAGGGUCAAAAGACCCUGUUUCAACAUCCCAUCUUCUCUUUUGAGUGUGAAACUUUUUUAUCAUCACAAAGACUCCAACCCCAAAAGCUUGUUCUGGAGAAACAAGUGGAACACAGGGCAAAACAGCCCUGAGUCUCAGGGAGAACAGGAUCAGCACCCCAAAAACCUGAUGGGAAUGGGUAAAUGGCUGGAUGAUGACUGAGACUGAGACCAGGCUGGGAGGGUGGGAUGAACAGCCUGUCUGCUCACUUGCUGAGAGAGUCCACCUCUCCCUGGAGGUCCACAGUCUGCCCUGCCAGAGUGUCCCGCUCCCCAGUGAGCUUUUGCAGCCGCUGUCUCAAGGCUUUGCCCUCUUCCUCCCACUGAUCAUGCUGCUGUUGCAACAAGUUCACAGCCUCUUGACAGCCUGCAAGCUGCUGCCUUAGGUCCUGUGGAGGGAGAGCAAGAGAAACCAGAUGAUGAACAAGGGCAAAGGAGGGAUGUCAGAACCCUGAAAGUGGGGCUGGAGAAGGGGGUCGGGGGCUGGUGCAACAAAAGUAAGCUGAGAAGGGAGAUGCAACUAUUCAAGAAGACAGGCCAUCAGAGGUCAUUGGGCUUCUGUGGCUCUAGAUUCUUAGAGUUUGUCAUCUCCAAAUGUACAGUGGCAUGGGGGAGUGGUAAGUGUGCCUAGGACUCUCAGAGUUGGAGAACAUUGACCCGAUAAUCUCCCAGGGCUCUGGUUCCCAGUCUUUGCAUAGUGUUAUGCAAAGAUUGUACACAAAGUGAGGCAUGCCAUCGGCGUGGAGGAUGUGCUUGCUACUCACAAGCACAAUUCAGCAGACAUAGGCAGAUUUACUCUGGGAUGUUGAUAAAACACCUCAUGACUGGUCAAAAAAGUGAAAGGGAUAGUCCAGGCUAGGGAGGUACCUGAGGCACAAACCAGUUUAGACACACACCCCUGUGACUGAGGUGGAAUGCUGAGGGUUCUUACCUGCACAGCCUGGUGUCUCCGAGUCAGCACUGAACGCACCAGAGUAAGAGCCUUGUCUGGAUCCUGGUAAUCAAACUGGGAGAAGAUACUAGAGUCCAAUUCCAAAGAGUUCUCAUGACCAGAGCCUUGAGCUAUAUUGUCCCCUUCUUCUACCAUGACCUGAAACCCAAUACAGCAAGGUCACCACCCUACUGACCAAAGCCUAAAGUCUAUACAGGGACUUAACCUUAUAGCCUGGACAAACCUGAUGUUUUCCUUCUCAGGUCCUCUCCCUUGGGGGAAGGAGGGGAGUAUCUGAGAGCAUAAAAGUCUGGUUCCUUCAACUCUCCACCUUUGGUCACCCAAGUGUAAUGAUUAACAACAAGGCUAGAACACUGUCUGAGGUAACAAUAAAUGAGGAAAUGAAAGAAGAAACGAUUGAGAUAUUGAAUACCAGAAUCCAGCCUCCAGCCUGAGAACUGCAGCUAGAAACAAGAACAGCCUGUCCCAUCAGGUAGUGCUAAGGCAUGAAUGCUUAGCUAUCUCUUAGGGUUCUGGUCUUCAAACACACAAAACUCAUCCCCACAAGACUUUAAGCACCCGAACCUCAGAGACUGGAAAUCUAGGCAGGACUGAAAGGACAUGGAGACCUGGGGAGUGGAGGCAUAAACUGGUUACCACGAACAGGAGGCUUCCCAGUACCUGGGUUAUAUCCUUGAUCACCUGCUGUAAAGACAACUUCUCCUCUUGCAUAUUCCUACUAAGAGAUGCUUCAUGUUCCAUUAAUUCUGUGUGAUUUGUCUCCUGAACAGUGAACAGAAUAGAGCCUCAGAGCCAAACUCUCAAAAGUGAAUGUAUUAUUCCAGGACCCCAAACAACCAAAGUCUCAUUUGUCUAUUCUAUCAGCCCCACUUUUCCCCUGACCAUACGUCAAUGCCAAUGUUGUCUGAAGAGUCUGAAGACAAUGUGAUGUGGUGAUUACAAGUUUAGAUUAAGUGAUUACGAGUUCCAAAUUAGACUUCACAGAUUAGAAUUCCUGCUCUAUCACUUACUAGCUUGGUAACCAUAGGCAACAGUUUCUUUGAGCUUCUUUUUCUUUAAAAUAGAAUUAAUUAACAGCAACUACUUGUUUUGAGGCUUAAAUGAAAAAUGCAUGUAAAUUAUUCAACAUAGUGUCUGGAACAAUGCAAAUGUUCAAUAAAUGUAAACUAUUAUUAGAU